rnacentral:misc_RNA from 1 species
GCCUUCAGCCGCUUCAUCAGUUCAGGCAGGGCUUCUGCGGUGUGCUUCUGAAAAUCGUGCAUCAGCACGAUGCCUUUGCCGAACUUGUCGAGCUUCGUCAUGACGGUGUCGACGAUCUUCUGUGCCGUGCUGGCCUUGAAGUCGAACGAGUCGAGAUCGCAUGACCAGAUCGAGAUGUUGCGUUCGCCGAGAUACGUCACCAUGGCGGGC